rnacentral:rRNA from 1 species
GACGAACGCUGGCGGCGUGCUUAACACAUGCAAGUCGAACGGAAAGGCCUCUGCUUGCAGGGGUGCUCGAGUGGCGAACGGGUGAGUAACACGUGGGUGAUCUGCCUUGUACUCUGGGAUAAGCUUGGGAAACUGGGUCUAAUACCGGAUAGGAACUGCCUUUAGUGUGGUGGUUGGAAAGUUUUUUCGGUGCAAGAUGAGCUCGCGGCCUAUCAGCUUGUUGGUGGGGUAAUGGCCUACCAAGGCGUCGACGGGUAGCCGGCCUGAGAGGGUGUACGGCCACAUUGGGACUGAGAUACGGCCCAGACUCCUACGGGAGGCAGCAGUGGGGAAUAUUGCACAAUGGGCGGAAGCCUGAUGCAGCGACGCCGCGUGGGGGAUGACGGCCUUCGGGUUGUAAACUCCUUUCGACAGGGACGAAGCGCAAGUGACGGUACCUGUAUAAGAAGCACCGGCUAACUACGUGCCAGCAGCCGCGGUAAUACGUAGGGUGCGAGCGUUGUCCGGAAUUACUGGGCGUAAAGAGCUCGUAGGUGGUUUGUCGCGUCGUCUGUGAAAUUCCGGGGCUUAACUCCGGGCGUGCAGGCGAUACGGGCAUAACUUGAGUGCUGUAGGGGAGACUGGAAUUCCUGGUGUAGCGGUGAAAUGCGCAGAUAUCAGGAGGAACACCGAUGGCGAAGGCAGGUCUCUGGGCAGUUACUGACGCUGAGGAGCGAAAGCAUGGGUAGCGAACAGGAUUAGAUACCCUGGUAGUCCAUGCCGUAAACGGUGGGCGCUAGGUGUAGGGGGCUUCCACGUCUUCUGUGCCGUAGCUAACGCAUUAAGCGCCCCGCCUGGGGAGUACGGCCGCAAGGCUAAAACUCAAAGGAAUUGACGGGGGCCCGCACAAGCGGCGGAGCAUGUGGAUUAAUUCGAUGCAACGCGAAGAACCUUACCUGGGCUUGACAUACACCAGAUCGCUGCAGAGAUGUAGUUUCCCUUGUGGUUGGUGUACAGGUGGUGCAUGGUUGUCGUCAGCUCGUGUCGUGAGAUGUUGGGUUAAGUCCCGCAACGAGCGCAACCCUUGUCUUAUGUUGCCAGCAUUUGGUUGGGGACUCAUGAGAGACUGCCGGGGUUAACUCGGAGGAAGGUGGGGAUGACGUCAAAUCAUCAUGCCCCUUAUGUCCAGGGCUUCACACAUGCUACAAUGGUCGGUACAACGUGCAGCGACACUGUGAGGUGGAGCGAAUCGCUGAAAGCCGGUCUUAGUUCGGAUUGGGGUCUGCAACUCGACCCCAUGAAGUCGGAGUCGCUAGUAAUCGUAGAUCAGCAAUGCUGCGGUGAAUACGUUCCCGGGCCU